UGGGACGUAGCUCAGUGGCAAAGCACUUGCCUAGCAAGUGCAAUGUCCUGGGUUCGAUUCCCAGUACCAA
rnacentral:tRNA from 1 species